UGCGCUUUAGCCACCGGAAUGUCACUACAAAGGGCGGAUCAGCUAACAUGAGAAGUAAAGGUAGAAGACAGAACCCAAUGAUUUUGGUCUAAAUCAGGUAAAGAAGCCCACGAGCAAUCCCCAGUAUGAUCUCAAAGCGGAUAUUCCAAUCCAAUAACUGACCUAGAUUUUGAUCUUGCAAGAAUUAAUCAAACAGAAGAUUAAUGUAUUUGCAAACAAGCAGGAGAAAAACGAAGUCAAGUGAUGAGCAAAAACUUUUAGAAAGCAAAUUAGUGUAUUUUAGAGGUACACUGGAUCAACCUGAGAGAUUCUAUAUAGAGGGGAGCCAAGCUCUCAGAAGAAAAGUAGACUCACCAAAUAUACAGAUGUCUAAGCUUUUGUUAGGCAUAUAUUCAUAUAAUAAAAUCUUUUCGUUUGCCUCGACGCAGUAGCCCAAAAGCCUUACUAGAUUUCUGUGUUGGAGUUUGGCUAUUAGCAUUACUUCGUUUUUAAAUUCUUCAUCACCUUGACUAGAAUGACUUGACAACCUCUUUACUGCCAUUUCUUGUCCCUGACAGAACUUACCCUGUACAAUAUUCCUCAUUAGCGGUUGUUACGCUAGAUCAUUUGAAAAUGGUACAAGAAAAACAACAGUUGAGGCAAGAACAACCUUGUAAACUGGACCAAAUCCGCCUCGACCAAGCCUGUUUGCAUCUGAGAAGUUAUCCGUUGCGACUAGUAUGCUUUUCAAGUUGAAAAAUGGGACAUCGAUCCUUUUCUUAUCAUCUUCAGUUAUUGAAUAUUUAGAUGAACUUUCGCUCUCGGGCAAGUGCUCUACCCUAUUCCCUAGAAUUAUUUCCUUGGCUUCUCAUGAUAUAAAAGUAAGUUCGAAAUUAGCAACUAAUAUAUAUAGAGAGCGGCAGGAAUCGAGAAGGAUGGCUAAGAAUGCUCAUGUUACCUUUUCUUCUCGACACCUUUUUGUUAUGGUAGAUUACAUAGCUAAUGCAGCAAAUUGCUAUAAUUCCAGCUGUUAGACUGGUGGAAAUAAUCACGGCUUUGCGAUUUGGGGAUGCUGCCUUCUCUCCACUCCAUGCUCCUUGCUCUGAACCAACAUGAAUUGAACAUGUUUAGGUGAUUAAAAUGAAGAAUACAACCAAAAGGAUCUGUGAGGGGUUAUCGGCACCUCUGGUACAAUUUAAUGCCAAGCCAUCCCAUUUGUAGUAUUGAUUGCAUAGACAUCUCCUCAGUCCUCCUCCCGCAAUGCUGCAACUUGAAUUUGGCCAAUCUUCACAGUCUGCUGAAGUAGUGCAUGUAGGUUCUGGUGGUGGUUCCCACAUGAUCUGUAUUUCGUUUAUAGAACUGAGAUUUUGUAAUUUUCCAUUGUAACACCGGUUUAUAGGAUGAAAAGGUAAUGACUGGUUGAGCCA